GGAAGUAAAAGUGUAACAAGGUUUCCGUAGGUGAACCUGCGGAAGGAUCAUUAUCGAGAUACUUAUUUAGCGUUCCGUGCUAUCCCAUUGUUUUAUUUACCCUGUUGCUUCCACUGGAUGAGUUUCCAUACCUUGUGUUUGAGAAACUUUGGCUUGUGUAAGAUUCAUUCACGGCCAGCCAGUGAGAAGACCAUUUACAAAACCCUGUUAAGAACCAAUUGUCUGAAUAUUUUACUCCAAUGAAAUAAAACUUUCAACAACGGAUCUCUAGGCUCUU
rnacentral:misc_RNA from 1 species